rnacentral:rRNA from 1 species
UACGAAGGGGGCUAGCGUUGCUCGGAAUCACUGGGCGUAAGGCGCACGUAGGCGGAUUGUUAAGUCAGGGGUGAAAUCCUGGAGCUCAACUCCAGAACUGCCUUUGAUACUGACGAUCUCGAGUCCGGGAGAGGUGAGUGGAACUGCGAGUGUAGAGGUGAAAUUCGUAGAUAUUCGCAAGAACACCAGUGGCGAAGGCGGCUCACUGGCCCGAUACUGACGCUGAGGCGCGAAAGCUGGGGGAGCAAACGGG